GAAAGUACAGUUAUAGUAAUUUCUAGGUUACGUCUAGGAGAGUCCGAUCCUACGGAUACUUUCA
rnacentral:tRNA from 1 species